GAAGGUGUAGCUCAGUGGUGGAGCGCUGGCCUAGCACGUGCAAGAUCCUGGGUUCGAUCCUCAGCACCCACA
rnacentral:tRNA from 1 species